ensembl:misc_RNA Metazoa_SRP Metazoan signal recognition particle RNA
GCUGGGCACGGUGGCUGGUGCCUGUAAUCCAAGCUGCUGGGAGGCUGAAACUGGUGGACGGCUUGAGCCCGGGGGUUCUGGGCCGCGGUGUGCUAUGCUGAGCGGGCGUCCGCGCUAAGCUCAGCAUCGAUAUGGUGAUCCCCGGGGAGCCGGGGGUCCCCAGGUCGCCUAAGGAGGGGUGAACCGGCCCAGGUCGGGAACGGAGCAGGUCAAAGCUCCUGUGCUGAUCAGUAGCGGGAUCGCGCCUGUGAAUAGUCCCCGCGGCUCAGCCUGGGCGAGACAGCGGGACCCAGUUUCCU